rnacentral:rRNA from 1 species
GAUGAACGCUGGCGGCGUGCCUAAUACAUGCAAGUCGAGCGAACGGACGAGAAGCUUGCUUCUCUGAUGUUAGCGGCGGACGGGUGAGUAACACGUGGAUAACCUCCCUAUAAGACUGGGAUAACUUCGUGAAACCGGAGCUAAUACCGGAUAAUAUUUUGAACCGCAUGGUUCAAAAGUGAAAGACGGUCUUGCUGUCACUUAUAGAUGGAUCCGCGCUGCAUUAGCUAGUUGGUAAGGUAACGGCUUACCAAGGCAACGAUGCAUAGCCGACCUGAGAGGGGGAUGGGCCACUCUGGAACUGAGACACGCUCCAGACGCCUACGGGAGGCAGCAGUAGGGAAUCUUCCGCAAUGAGCGAAAGCCUGACGGAGCAACGCCGCGUGAGUGAUGAAGGUCUUCGGAUCUUAAAACUCUGUUAUUAGGGAAGAACAUAUGUGUAAGUAACUGUGCACAUCUUGACGGUACCUAAUCAGAAAGCCACGGCUAACUACGUG